rnacentral:rRNA from 1 species
GGCGAACGCUGGCGGCAGGCUUAACACAUGCAAGUCGAGCGGGCACCUUCGGGUGUCAGCGGCGGACGGGUGAGUAACGCGUGGGAACGUGCCUUCUGGUUCGGAAUAACCCUGGGAAACUAGGGCUAAUACCGGAUACGCCCUUUUGGGGAAAGGUUUACUGCCGGAAGAUCGGCCCGCGUCUGAUUAGCUAGUUGGUGGGGUAACGGCCUACCAAGGCGACGAUCAGUAGCUGGUCUGCGAGGAUGAUCAGCCACACUGGGACUGCGACACGGCCCAGCCUCCUACGGGAGGCAGCAGUGGGGAAUAUUGGACAAUUGGCGCAAGCGUGAUCCAGCCAUGCCGCGUGAGUGAUGAAGGCCUUAGGGUUGUAAAGCUCUUUUAUCCGGAACGAUAAUAACGGUACCGGAGGAAUAAGCCCCGGCUAACUUCGUGCCAGCCGCCGCCGUAA